GUUUAAUUAAAAUUCCUUGAUAGCAAAAGGACAUGUAUAUUUGGAGCUGACAGUGGAUUUUUGCGCACUAGUUAUAAUGAAGUUUAAUGAAAAUUCCUUGAUAUCAGAAGGACAUGUAGCGUGAAUAAUCCUAACCAUAAAGACAAUUCUAUGUGAGUGAUCAUGUGGAUUUCAACUUGCCAAAGAUCAAAAAAGAUUGCAUGUAAGAAAAAGAAAACAUUAAAAUCCAAUUUCGGUUAACAUCAGGAAAAAGGGAACAAAUUUCACAAAAGAUGGAAUCAUUGUCAUUUACAUUAAGAUUUUAUUAGAGCUCAUUAUGUAAUUUGAGAAAUUAUUCAGGCAGUGCAUUGAAGAAUUCGCGAAGCUAUUAUGUCAUGGGUUUCCACACACGAAACAAAAGAAACAUAAUAACAUAAACUUAAAUAAAAAAAAUGCAGGAGUACAGUAGGUUCAUUGCGUGUAAAACUUUAACCAAUAUUUACAACUAGAUUACAAUUACUAAAGAAGCUUUAAUUCUUUCCAUCAACUAAUGAACAAUGAAAUUGAAGUGCUAAGAAGAGUCGAGGAAAAGGUAUUGUUUUAUGCAUCUGGUUUGCUGAUUCAGUAUUUCUUGUUUGGUUGAUUGCUAAGUACUUCUUGUUGGCUUUCUUAUUGUUUUAUAUAUUUUGAGAAUAUGAUGAUGUUGAAAUGGUAUUAUAAAUCGCAGAAACCUGUUACUGUUAUAUGUUUUGCUACGACCGCUUGAGGGGUCAAGGAAUCCAACAGAAUGUUUAGAGUUGUUGAAUUGUCUGAUCAGUGAAUUAGAUCCCCCGACGAUGACAUGGAGGGAUUACUUCUUUAGAUCUGUCUAUUUUUAGAAAUAUUUGAUCUUUGAAUUGGAAAAGUAUAAAAAUAAGGACUUACUGUGGGGUUUUAUUCUGUGCUGUUGUGCCUACGGGAUUAGCUACCGCCUUGGAUGUAAACCUGAGCAAUGAGUCCCUUGUUUUCAUAUCGGUUACAUUUGCGACAAUGGCCUAUGGCAUGGCUGCUAACAGGAGAUCUUUAUGCUUCAAACGACCAAGGUGCCAUGUGUACUCAUCCUCUCUGAGAGCUUCAAACUGAGCUGCUAUCUGCUCUUGAGCAGUUCGCAACU